UUAGAUAGGCGUUUAUUGUGGCCAGUCUAAAGCUGUGGUUACACUAGCUAAAUUCUGUUGUGUGCUGCACAACACAUUCACAUGUGUAUGAACAAAAGUCUUUAGGGUGAAAAACUCAGCCAGACUGUCUGCAGCACACCUGUCCAAUAGUCAUGCUGUCUUAUCAGCAUCCUGAUGCCAAAGGAGAAGCACUUUAGCAACGAGACCAACAGCCUACGAGGAGCGAGGAGGCUGUUCGUGGAAUCUGGUAACUUACUUUUCGUCUGGGAUCGAUCUUGGACCGGAGUGGGCUAGCAACAUGACCUUCGAUAAUAAAGAGUGAAGAUGCACUCGCUCUGACAAGAUCUGUUUCCACUGAGAUGCUUCAACAAAACCGCUUCAACCAACUGAAAGAACAAAUUAUGUGGAUUAAAUUUAAUGGCCAUAAAUACAACAUGUAUUUAAGUUCAACUAUAAUUUUACAUAUAUACAAUUACUCUGUUAAUGGUUUUUCAAAUAAUGAAUAGCUGCAACUCAAGUUUUUCAGAAGAACCAAAGUUCUACCAGCUUAAUAAAAAGCACUAAAGGUGUGAGAUGAUGUUGAAAAAGUUUCUGUGUUAAAUGUAAUUCUCACCUGUUGCUCUUUUACAUCAUUACAUGUUUUAUCAGCACAUCUUAUCACCAAACCUAAAACAGGAUCAAAAUAAAAAUCACAGAGACUCAUAAAACU
ensembl:processed_transcript